UGUCUAUGUGCUGCAGGUUACUGGACUGACCGCCUGUGUUUUGUGAAGGGGAGGAGCUCACAGCAGCAUCUGCUGCUCGUUGAGGACAGUAACUGCAGAACGAUCCGAGCUUUCAUUUCAGAGUCUCCAAAACACCAGAAAAAGUCGCUAGAUUUGUCACUAGUUGCUUUUGUCAAAAAAAAAAAAAAAAAAAAAAACGUGGCCUGGAGGUUUUGGAAAGUCGCUAAGUUGCAACACUGGCAUGUUCGUGCAGAGCUCUCCUCUGUUCCUUGUCAAGCUCAGUUUGUUUGCCAGCUCCGAGAAAAACCAGUUUCUGUGUUUUCAAGCUGUUCAGCAUCAACAGAUCGUGAAGAGACAGAAGCAGAAUUAUUCCAUCAUGAAUGUUUAAUUCUGUCAUGGAGUCCUGGACCAGGUUUAUUCUCCUUCUCCUCGUGAUCAGAUUAUCUGAUGCUGAAGAAGAGCAGAAUAAUCUGACAGGAACUGAGGGAGGAAACAUCACUCUGCCUGAUCCUGUACUGGAGAGAGGAUAUCUGUUAUAUGAAGGAAAUGUUAUUGCUCAGGUGAUAAACAGAGUACUCAUCAUAGAUGAUGGCAUUUAUAUUAGCAGACUUCACUGGAACAAUAACUCUGGACUCUUCACAAUCACAGACCUGCAGAAGAGAGACUCUGGGAUUUAUAAAAUUGACUCUAAAAAAGGAGUAAUUUCUACUAAAUCUAUUUAUAGCCUCACAGUUUACGACUCUGUAGCGCUUCCUGCUGUCCAAACACUGAGUGUGAGCUCUGACAGCUGCUAUCUGCUGUGUGCUGUGGACAAAGCUGCAGAGAUCACACUGUGGUGGUACAAAGAUGAGGAGGUGGUGAACCAGAGCAGCUCUGCUGGACCUCUGCCUCUCACUGUGACCAAGCAGGACCUCAGCUCCUCUUACAGAUGUGUGGCUGGAAACCCUGCAGAAGAAAGGACUCUUCUAGUGGAUCUUCAGACGUUCUGUGGAGAGAACUUCACUGCAGUUCAGAACAACACAGAAUCAAGACAUCAUCCUGAGGGCACAAAGUCAGACGCGGAGUACACUGAAGUAAACAUCUGUCCUGACAGACGCAGUCAGGGAGGAAAUUUACCGGAUUCACCAGGCUCUGUGGAUCGCUCCAAUCUGACGACAGUUUAUGACAAACUGGAGGCUCAUCGGAUGGUGCUGCCAGACUCGGAUGGUAACGUUUGACAGCAGAAAACAGAUUUCUACCAUUAUUGUGCAGCUGACUGAAACCAAAGAUGAAGGAAAAUGUACAGACCAUAAUCGACCAGUACUAUUUGUAGAUAACCAAAAAUACAACUGUCCUGUACCCAUUUCAAUAUUUGCUAUUUAUUUUGUUCUUGUGAUUGUAUUAACUUCUUGCACUGCUUUGUUACUGUCCAUUGUUGCAUUUCAUCUGUUCUCAGAAGGUCUUCACAUUUCAUCCUUGGUGUUAAUAAAGAUGCUCUGUAUGGAGACAUGGUGUUUACUGUCUUCUGUGGUUCAGACAUUCCUCCCUCAUUCAGUAACACAUUCUCUAGAUGCUGCAUCACAGCUGGCAGUAAGUCCUUGUAUAGAAAUAGUUCAAACAUGAGCAGGACAGUGUUGUCAUUCUGAAAUACUGUCUCUGCAGAACCUCCCUGGUUAGAAGAAGAACCGACAGUAGCUCUGCAUCGUGUUGUCUCUUAGAUCCGUGAGUUCUCUACCAGAGGAACCACAACAACCUCCAUCAGUACAAUGCAGCUCAUUUACAACUAAUUCAACACAAAGUAGGAAGUGAGUCACCACAACCUGCCCCCAGGACAGCUCUGAUUGGUCGAGGCCUGGAGUCCUCAGACCUCUGAAGACGUCCUGUGGUUUCAGGCUCCAAGACCUUCACAGCAGAACCUUUCAGGUCUGGAAGUUUCUGGAAUCUGAAGGCUGAGUCGACACUUGGUUGGACACUCUCGGUUGUGUUCCUCUAACCAUCAGUAGAUCCAUCUGGGAAUGAAGCUGCCAUGAAGGUGGUGAAAGGAACGUCCACAUGAAUGCAGGACUUCAUGUUCCCCAGCAGAACAUCACCUCCUUCCAUCCUGCUGCAUCUCCUCUGCAGGUAUACGACACACCUGGACUUCGAUGUGAUGGAGAAGGAAACUCCUCAGAGCAGGACACCUUCUUCCAUCUGUCCAUGGUCCAGCUGUGAUGCUGUAGCAGCUUCCAGUGGUGGACAGGAGUCAGCAUGGACUCAAUCUGAGAUGUUCUGAGAUGUUCUGAUCAGCAGCUUGGAGGUUUUCAGCAGCUCUUCUAUAGGAUCAGACCUCCUGCAUGAGGGAUCCUCUGGUGUCCACGUCUCUGGUUCUCUGGUUCUCCUUCUCUUUACACUUUUAAUAACCGCUGUAGAACUCUUGCUGUUCUGGAGAUGUUCUGAUCCAGUUUGUUAAAGUCUCUCAGAUCUUCCAAUGAACCAACUUCCAGAACUGAGCCUUUAUGAGGAGAUGAUCAUUGAGCUGGUUUAAUGUUAAUGUUUUUAAACUCA
ensembl:lncRNA